rnacentral:rRNA from 1 species
UACGAAGGGGGCUAGCGUUGCUCGGAAUCACUGGGCGUAAAGCGCACGUAGGCGGAUCUUUAAGUCAGGGGUGAAAUCCUGGAGCUCAACUCCAGAACUGCCUUUGAUACUGGGGAUCUCGAGUCCGGAAGAGGUGAGUGGAACUCCGAGUGUAGAGGUGAAAUUCGUAGAUAUUCGGAAGAACACCAGUGGCGAAGGCGGCUCACUGGUCCGGUACUGACGCUGAGGUGCGAAAGCGUGGGGAGCAACAG